rnacentral:misc_RNA from 1 species
GUAAAACGACGUUAUGCAUGAACGUAAUGCUCAUAACUUCCCUCUAGACCUAGCUUGAAGCUCCAUCUACAACUGGAUAAGACUUUGGUCCUAGUCUAUACGAGUUUUUGAAAGUAAGGGAGCAAUCACCUCUUGUUCUAUCAAGAGUGCAUUGCUCCUUUUCUUUUUUUUAUGACGACUAGAGUCGUCUUUCAUUUACAGAUCGUUUUUUCGUUACAAGAAAAAGAUUUGGAUGGUUUGGUUCAUUAUUGAGUCUCCUUUUUUCUUUUCGUUUUGUAUUCAUUUUGAAUUGAUAUACCUUUGUUUUGUCAAAUUUUUCUUUUCCAUUGAAAAGAAAAGAGAAAAUUUGCUUCAGACUUCCAAUUUCGAUCUCCGAAAUAAGAAAGAGGAAUGUUUGAAAUUGAAAUCUGAAGGGGGCGGAUGUAGCCAAGUGGAAUAAGGCAGUGGAUUGUGAAUCCACCAUGCGCGCCUGUGUGAAAUUG